rnacentral:rRNA from 1 species
CCUACGGGUGGCUGCAGUGGGGAAUAUUGGGCAAUGGAGGAAACUCUGACCCAGCAAUGCCGCGUGAAUGAAGAAGGUCUUCGGAUUGUAAAGUUCUUUAGUCAGGGAAGAAGUCAAUGACGGUACCUGAAGAAUAAGCUCCGGCUAACUACGUGCCAGCAGCCGCGGUAAUACGUCGGGAGCAAGUGUUGUGCGGAAUGACUGGGCGUAAAGGGUGCGUAGGCGGUCGUACAAGUUAGAGGUGAAAUCCCGGGGCUCAACUUCGGAAUUGCCUCUGAUACUGUUCGGCGAGAGAGUAGUUGCGGUAGGCGGAAUGUAUGGUGUAGCGGUGAAAUGCUUAGAGAUCAUACAGAACACCGAUUGCGAAGGCAGCUUACCAAGCUACUUCUGACGUUGAGGCACGAAAGCGUGGGGAGCAAACAGGAUUAGAUACCCCAGUAGUC